CUGCCGUCCAGGAGGACGUUCCCGAGCGGGCCGCUGCCGUCCAGGAGGACGUUCCCGAGCGGGCCGCUGCCGUCCAGGAGGACGUUCCCGAGCGGGCCGCUGCCGUCCAGGUGGACGUGCCCGAGGUUCCCGAGGCGGGGCUCGAGGUGGUUCGGGAUGCCGAGGCGGUGCCCGAGGCUGUGCCCGAUGCCGAGGCGGUGCCUGAUGCGGUGGCCGAGGCGGUUCCCGAUGCAAUGUCCGAUGCCGAGGCGGUGCCCGUUGCCGAGGCGGUGCCCGAGGCCGAGGCGGUGCCCGAUGCCGAGGCGGUGCCCGAUGCCGAGGCGGUGCCCGAUGCCGAGGCGGUGCCCGAGGCGGUGCCCGAUGCCGAGGCGGUGCCCGAUGCGGUGCCGCAGGUCGAGGCGGUGGCCAAUGCCGUUCCGCAGGUCGAGGCGGUGCCCGAUGUUGUUCCAGAGACCGAGGUGGUGCCCGAGUUGCUUCCAGAGACCGAGGCGGUGCCCGAUGCGCAGGCCGAGGUCGUUCCCGAGGCGGUGGCCGAUGCGCAGGCCGAGGUCGUUCCGAGGUGGUGCCCGAUGCAGAGAUCGUUCCCGAGGCGGUGUCCUUGUCCAAGGCCGUUCCCGAGGCCGUGCCCGAGGCCGUUCCCGAGGCGGGGGCCUUGUCCAAUGUCGUUCCUGAGGCCGUUCCUGAGGCCAUUCCAGAGGCGGUGGCCGAUGCUGUUCCGGAGGCCGAUGCGGGGCCCAGGAUGGCUCCGGAGGCGAUACCCGUGUCCAAGGCCGUUCCCGAGGCGGUGCCCUUGUCUGAGGCCGUUCCUGAGGUCGUUCCUGAGACCGUUCCCGAGGCGGUGUCCUGGUCCGAUGCCGUUCCUGAGGCCGUUCCUGAGGCCAUUCCAGAGGCGGUGGCCGAUGCUGUUCCGGAGGCCGAUGCGGGGCCCAGGAUGGCUCCGGAGGCGAUACCCGUGUCCAAGGCCGUUCCCGAGGCGGUGCCCUUGUCUGAGGUCGUUCCUGAUGCCGUUCCCAAUGCCGUGACCGGGCCAUCGCCACAGCCUGCUCCUUACUGGCUCCCCGAUUGGCAGGUUCCGUUCGGGCCACUCAAAUGGCGAAUUCCUCCCUGGCCGUCUGCACAACGAGAAUGGACUGAUCCACCGUGGCCACCUGAACUGCCUGGCCCCUCGUGGUCCCCUGAACUUUCGGGUCCACCGUGGCCACCUGAACUGCCU
ensembl:lncRNA